rnacentral:rRNA from 1 species
CGGGGUGCAGCAGGCGCGAAAACUUUACAAUGCUGGCAACAGCGAUAAGGGGACCUCGAGUGCCAGGAUACAAUCCUGGCUGUCGUAAUGCCUAAAAAGCAUUGCAUAGCAAGGGCCGGGCAAGACCGGUGCCAGCCGCCGCGGUAACACCGGCGGCUCGAGUGGUAACCGCUAUUAUUGGGUCUAAAGGGUCUGUAGCCGGCUGACUAAGUCUCUUGGGAAAUCUGGCAGCUCAACUGUCAGGCUUUCAGGAGAUACUGAUCGGCUCGAGACCGGGAGAGGUGAGAGGUACCUCAGGGGUAGGGGUGAAAUCUUGUAAUCCUUGAGGGACCACCAGUGGCGAAGGCGUCUCACCAGAACGGAUCUGACGGCAAGGGACGAAAGCUAGGGGCACGAACCGGAUUAGAUACCCGGGUAGUCCUAGCCGUAAACGAUACUCGCUAGGUGUCGGCCACGGUGCGACCGUGGUCGGUGCCGUAGGGAAGCCGUGAAGCGAGCCACCUGGGAAGUACGGCCGCAAGGCUGAAACUUAAAGGAAUUGGCGGGGGAGCACA